GUUUGGCCAAUUGAAUUUUGCAAUGCUUAGCACCUUAUUCACACCCAUGGAAAACUGAAAGUCGGCUAGCAGGUUAUCAUUAAUCGAUUUUGGUCUCUUAAAUGUUAGAUUGGAACCGUACUGCAAUUUGUGGUAUUUUUGAGGAUGCAGAAAACCUUCCAGCAGUUAAAGGCUGCACUGCACAGAACACCUUAUCUUUCCCCACUCCAUUGCAUGGCAACUCUGGACAUGCAUUUUUGUAUCAACUUAAGAUUAUUUGUUGACCCCGUGUAGCUCAAAA
rnacentral:misc_RNA from 1 species